rnacentral:rRNA from 1 species
CCUACGGGAGGCAGCAGUGGGGAAUAUUGGGCAAUGGGCGCAAGCCUUACCCAGCAAUACCGCGUGAGUGAAGAAGGUCUUCGGAUUGUAAAGCUCUUUGAUCAGGGACGAACAGAUGACGGUACCUGAAGAACAAGCCCCGGCUAACUACGUGCCAGCAGCCGCGGUAAAACGUAGGGGGCGAGCGUUAUCCGGAUUUAUUGGGUUUAAAGGGUGCGUAGGCGGAUUUUUAAGUCAGCGGUAAAAUGUCCGGGCUCAACCCGGGCCGGCCGUUGAAACUGGGGAUCUUGAGUGGGCGAGAAGUA